rnacentral:lncRNA from 1 species
ACCAGAUUCUCCCAUUAGCUGCAUUUGAAUAAUUGCACUGCACCAUCCAGUUCCUUGCAAUCUUCCCUAAUAUCUUCUUUGAUUUAGGCUCCUUUACCCUGGUUUCAAGGAUUCCCAUGACAUCUACUUUAUUCUUAGCUAAGAAGUUUUUCAACUCCUUUUGCUUAUGAGGCUGAUUAAGCCCCCUUAUGUUCCAAGUUACAACAAUCAUUG